rnacentral:sRNA from 1 species
UGUCUGUUUGUUUUGUUUUUGUUUUGUUGCCUCCCACUUCGGAUGAGGAAGGUAUAGUACAUUAUGUUGUAGAAAGUAGCUGUAGAAAUAUUAAUAGCAAUGAUUAUAUUUUUGGGUACUAUGAAUUUUAUCCUCAGUAAUUUGUUUCAUUCUUCCUUUUUUUCUCCCUAAACUCUGGUUAGCCGUCCUCGUUCUCCAAAUGAUUUGCUGGCCUUGUUCCGGUAUCCGAGGGAUCCUUACACAGUUGAACAGGCACGGGCGGGAGAAAUCUUUGAACGGACAUUGCAGCUCAUUCAGGAGCAUGUGCAGCAUGGCUUGAUGGUCGACCUCAACGGAACAAGUUACCACUACAACGACCUGGUGUCUCCGCAGUACCUGAACCUCAUCGCAAACCUGUCUGGCUGCACCGCCCACCGGCGCGUGAACAACUGCUCAGACAUGUGCUUCCACCAGAAGUACCGGACGCAUGAUGGCACCUGCAACAACCUGCAGCACCCCAUGUGGGGCGCCUCGCUGACCGCCUUCGAGCGCCUGCUGAAAUCCGUGUACGAGAAUGGAUUCAACACCCCUCGGGGCAUCAACCCCCACCGACUGUACAACGGGCACGCACUUCCCAUGCCGCGCCUGGUGUCCACCACCCUGAUCGGGACGGAGACCGUCACACCCGACGAGCAGUUCACCCACAUGCUGAUGCAGUGGGGCCAGUUCCUGGACCACGACCUAGACUCCACGGUGGUGGCCCUGAGCCAGGCACGCUUCUCCGACGGACAGCA